UACAGAGGGUGCAAGCGUUAAUCGGAAUUACUGGGCGUAAAGCGUGCGUAGACGGUCAUGUAAGUCGGGUGUGAAAGCCCCGGGCUCAACCUGGGAAUUGCAUUCGAGACUGCAUGGCUAGGGUGCGGAAGAGGGAAGCGGAAUUUCCGGUGUAGCGGUGAAAUGCGUAGAUAUCGGAAGGAACACCAGUGGCGAAGGCGGCGCUCUGGGACGGUACUGACGCUGAGACGCGAAAGCGUGGGGAGCGAACAGG
rnacentral:rRNA from 1 species